UACAGGGGGGGCAAGCGUUGUUCGGAAUUACUGGGCGUAAAGGGCUCGUAGGCGGCCAACUAAGUCACACGUGAAAUCCCCAGGCUUAACCUGGGAACUGCGUGUGAUACUGGAUGGCUUGAAUUCGGGAGAGGGAUGCAGAAUUCCAGGUGUAGCGGUGAAAUGCGUAGAUAUCUGGAGGAAUACCGGUGGCGAAGGCGGCAUCCUGGACCGGCAUUGACGCUGAGGAGCGAAAGCUAGGGGAGCAAACGGG
rnacentral:rRNA from 1 species